AACUGCUGCAGCUGGGUGAUGGCUACAUGCCAUCCAUUAUUUCAUUUUCUCUCCUUUGCUAUAAAGUUAAAAUUUUUCAGGGUAAAAGAUGAAAAGGAUCAACCAAAUCAGAACUGAAAAAUUUUAAAUGAAAGAAGAUGUAUUGCUUCCUUCAAUACCACAGAAGAUGGUCUCCACAGAAAUUCAUUGCUGAAAUACCAAUUGUAUCAGAUGAGGAAGUUCCUGUCUGUGUCAGAGUCACCUGUUGAGGGGAUCAUAUUGGUAUUCUCAGGUUACAGUUUCCUUGAAAAUCUUGUUUGUUUCAAAUACACAUCCAGCCAGUCUGCGGACAAACACCAGUGCCAUCCUGUUCCUUGAAAAGCAAACCUCAUCUGUAACAAACUUUGUCUGGGUUAUGAGUUGUACAUACAGCUGGGCACAAAACCAUGAUCAUCAAGGCAGCUUCUUCCAGUCCUUCUGGGUUGCCAUCCUUGUGUUGCUGUGUGGCAAAAAAAGGGCAACGAGUAUGAACUUUAUAUACAUCAAGAAAGUCCUUGGAUUUUGUCAGCAGGCACCUUCUGGACUAUGAGAUUGUCUCCCAUUUGUAUUUCCAUUUCUUGGUUCUGCCAACUCUCCAAUGCCUUUUUUCUUCAGGAAGAGGAUAUCCCCAGCACAGUGCUAUAAAGUUUGGAAAAAGUUCACCUUGUGGGCAUCCAGCAUCAGAAUUAAAGUCAAUGGCAUUUUCUCCUGAGGAAAGUCGGCUCUUCGUUAUCUGUUUGCAUCAUCUACUGUUUGUUCAAGGUUUCCCCUCCCCAAACUCAGCAUGC